AAUGGCUGAGCAGGGCCACUAAUGGGUGGCUCAUUGACAGUUGGUUGCCAGUGUGGGGGCCCACUAAGGCACCAACCAAUGACUGAGCAGGACCAACUGCCUGGGAACAGAGCGUAAUGAUGCAUGACAAUGGCUGCUGUGUUAAGAGCCUAAGAGCCCAACUCACUGCGCUCUGUUACAUACAGACUGCCCGCUCAGGCAGACUGCCUCUGCGAUUGGCUGCAGAGGUGGGGAUGGGAGAGAGGUUCACUGCUGCUUCAAGGCUUGGGCCAAGGCCAGUGGAUGACCUUGAAAGGGACCUGCAAACGCUAAUAACCAUCCUUUUGCUGAGGGAACAUUGCCACCUAGCAACAGAAUCAAGGCUCCAGACCAAGGAUACAUUCCAGCUACACAUUUUCAAGUGCACGGAGGUUGUGUCCUAAAAGAAGGAUAGUUGAACUCCAAAGAAACCCACAGCCAGAUUUCAAGGCCAUCUAUCCUACCAGAGAAGACUCCAGCUGUCUCAGACAAGAGUUGGGGAGGAGGAGUUGGGCAUCUCUCCGAGACAAUUCUCUCCAUUCGGGACACUAGCACCCUCAGUAUAGAAAUCCUGUCUGACUGUUCUACCACUUGGGUGUGUAUGAAGAUAACAAAAACAAGACCACAGUCCCACUUGACACCUCGAUUACAGCCUGAGGCUGAGGUACCCAGGUCACUUUUUCAUUCUGUUAUCGCCCUUCAAUUUAUCUGCUGAAGAACGCAAGGCAUUUGACAUGUAGCGUUUCCCACAAUACAGGUUUUCCUAAAUAUAUGUCCAUGGUGA
ensembl:lncRNA